rnacentral:rRNA from 1 species
GAUCAUGGCUCAGGAUGAACGCUAGCUACAGGCUUAACACAUGCAAGUCGAGGGGCAUCAGGGUGUAGCAAUACUCCGCCGGCGACCGGCGCACGGGUGCGUAACGCGUAUGCAACCUACCUUUAACAGGGGCAUAACACUGAGAAAUUGGUACUAAUUCCCCAUAACAUUCGAGAAGGCAUCUUCUUGGGUUAAAAACUCCGGUGGUUAAAGAUGGGCAUGCGUUGUAUUAGCUAGUUGGUGAGGUAACGG